rnacentral:lncRNA from 1 species
AUAUUUUGAUCUAGUGCUUGCGGAAUUGCAAAUUAAUUAGUCAGAAUUGCAAAUUAAUUAUUUUCUGUUUCUUCAAAUUAGUCAAAUUGACAACAACAAUAUAAGGAAGUGCAGAAUAUGUAAAACUGUUUUCCAAACCACGUAGGCAGAAUUGAAAACCCAUGUUUGUGCUUUAUUUUCGUUGAUAAUUAAGGAAAUGAGAGAUUCCUUAUAUGUAUUUUGAUCUUCAGUGUACGUGUUGGUGGAAAAUCAUAUUGAUUUUGUUCUUUAUAUGAAAAAUUGUUUCUGCUUCUAUUUGGAUUUUUGUUUCUCUGUUCAGCUUCCUAUUUUCAUUCUAUUGC